rnacentral:lncRNA from 1 species
AAGGCAGGAGGGGGCGUGCCCCUCACCGGAAAUUAGCAGAGGGGCGUGUCCCACACCGGAAGUCAGAAAGCGGAGCCUUUCUUACACCGGAAGUCAAUGAAGCGGGUCUUUCCUACGCUAAAAACCACUGAGUGGAGUAUUUAGUACACAGGAAGUCGGCCAGAGAAACAUUUCUCAUAUUUGAAGGCCGGAAAGAGGGACAUUUCUGACACCGGAAGUCAGUGAGAGGACUCUUUCCCACACAGGAAGUCAGCUAGAGAGCCGUCUCCCCUCUCUGGAGCCGAGAGAGGCCGGUUUCCCCCACCGUAGCCCACCUGGGAGGAAUUUUCCAGAGAUCACUGUCUGAUGACCCUGUCUUGGAAUUGGAGCCAUGCAAGUUACACUGACCACGUUUGGGUUGGGAUAUUGAGGAGGUUAUGGUUAAAAGCAUACGAUGGGAGAUCAUAUUGUACUUGCGAGUGAGACCCGGCUGGAGGAAUGUUUUAAUUCUUCGGAAAUACCAAGUGGUCUCUACAGAACACUGAAGAUUCUGCUCUCAGGGUGUUGAUUGACGUCUGGAAGGCAGAGACUCGUGGAUUAGCAAGCAUGUGUAAGAAAGUGCUCUGGAUGCCACAGGGUGGUAAUUUGUGCAUGGAAAAUGGCUGGGGUGAAGAGGAGACUAGGGU